CUACGUGCCAGCAGCCGCGGUAAUACGGAAGGUCCAGGCGUUAUCCGGAUUUAUUGGGUUUAAAGGGAGCGUAGGCGGAUUAUUAAGUCAGUGGUGAAAGACGGUGGCUCAACCAUCGUUAGCCAUUGAAACUGGUAGUCUUGAGUGCAGACAGGGAUGCUGGAACUCGUGGUGUAGCGGUGAAAUGCUUAGAUAUCACGAUGAACUCCGAUCGCGAAGGCAGGUGUCCGGGCUGCAACUGACGCUGAGGCUCGAAAGUGUGGGUAUCAAACAGGAUUAGAUACCCUGGUAGUCCACACAGUAAACGAUGUAUACUCGCGGUUUGCGAUAGACAGUAAGCCGCCAAGCGAAAGCAUUAAGUAUACCACCUGGGGAGUACGCCGGCAACGGUGAAACUCAAAGGAAUUGACGGGGGCCCGCACAAGCGGAGGAACAUGUGGUUUAAUUCGAUGAUACGCGAGGAACCUUACCCGGGCUUGAAC
rnacentral:rRNA from 1 species